rnacentral:lncRNA from 1 species
UCGGAUCCGCAUAUAUAUAUAUACAGAUUAUAUCAGGUGCGAACAGGGUCGUUCCCUCCAACGGUAAGGUACCACCCUCCCCCACCUUCCGAUUGGACAUCCACGGUUGAUUUGUCUUCCGUCGACCGUUCCAACAAACAAUCGCGAGACCCAUCUUCGCGGGAGGUAAGGUAGAUACUGCAUCGGAGGCAGGGAGCUCCAUCUUCGCGAGUACUGCAUCUACUCGCGAUUGCCGGACCCCAUCUUCGCGAUUGCAGGACAGGCACGGGAACUCGCGAUUGCCGGACUCGCGAUUGCAGGUCUCCCGAACCCAUCUUCGGGAACUCGCGAUUGCAGGUCCAACGUUCGGAACCGCGAUUGCAGGUCUCGCGAUUGCAGGUCUCGCGAUUGCCGGACUCGCGAACCCAUCUUCGGGAACCCAUCUUCGGACUCGCGAUUGCAGGUCUCGCGAUUGCCGGACUCGCGAUUGCCGGACUCGCGAUUGCAGAACCACCGGAUGGGUUCACCGCCACCGGAUGGGUUCACGUCUGGAACAGUUCCGGCACCCAUCGCGGAACUGUUCUGGUGGCCGUCUGGAACGGCACGUCCGUUCCAGAUAUUUUCCCUAUAUAUAUAUAUAUAUAUAU